AUUGUUAUAUAUCACUUUUAAUAUAAAGGAAAUGUAAUUGCUUUAAUUUCCGUACAAUCCUGAUGGGAACAUAGCUAUAUUCAGAAAUUUGGGAAUAUCCCUGUGGGACCAAACCCUCUUGGAUUUGCCUCAAUGGAUUGCUCUCUGAUUCUGAUCUCAUUAGGUGGAGUAAAUUAAUUUUGUUUUGUAGUUGUUAAGUAGAUUUGUUCUAAUACUACAAUUUCUUGAUUAUAAUGUUGGGGUCAAGGUCAGGGUCAGUACAAUGGGAUUAGAGAAAUAAUAUUUAAUCCUGAUUUUUUUUCCUUUACUAGCACUUGUAAAUGAAUGCUGGAAAUAAUGUAACUCAUGGACAGUGGGGUUCAUUUUUGUCAGGGGAAAUUCUUGAGAAAAAUGGGUAAAUGUAAGAACAGAAGCUUUUGGCAAAUAAGGUGGGGAAAAUAUGAUACGUUUUGCCUUCUAAGCAAGAAAACGGAGUUCUAGAUGAUUCUUGAAUGAAUCAUAGUAUCUGAUCUCACAGUGUCUUUGGCAUGGCCGAACUGCUGGUUAGCCCUCGUUGGGUUUUUUUUAGAGUCAGGAUCCUGAGCAACGUCUCAAACUCACAAGAACAUAUCUUGGAUGUCAGAUACAAACUUGCUUUAGAAAUACCGAAUUUGUCUUGAGAACUGUGGUCAGCUACAUUCCCCUGAAAAAUUGCCUUCUGAGGAAUUGUGACAUUGCUUAGGAAAAAGUCACGUUCCAAGAGCAUGUGUUUCCCUUCUGGUUUAUUUCUGAAGGAAAGGUGAGCGCUUUCUUGGUGGGAGAGGAAACCCAGGGUUUUGUUUGGGCGAUGGCUCUCGCUGAGCUGGUUCUUUUCCUCACUACAGGAGGGACGCAGCGAGCCAGGCUUCAGGAGGUCAUGGGCUUGUUGGUGUGUGUAGGGACCGGGAGCUGUACUGUGAGCUGUUUAUUUACAUGGCUGUGCCUAAACUCAGACCAAGGUUUUUAGGAAAUCACAGUGAGCUAGAUAAACAACAAUUUGUAACACUGACUAUUUUUCUGCUGUUUCAGACAGCAGUUGUCAUGGUAAGGAAAGCCCAGGUGGUAGAGAGGAGGUGGGUGAGGUGCUCCCGGCCCCUCUGAGCUGGGUGAAAGCAAAAGAGAAAACAACUGCAGAAAAACCCAGCUCACGAGCAGGACUGUGCUAGUCCAGGGAGCACGUCUGGAGCCCCGAAUACAUUUUUUUUCCUGGAUUGCAUUUCAAACCUGAGCAUUAAUACAGAACAAAUAGAACCAUAUCAUAUAAUUCAGAGGACAACGGAAGUGGGAAACCCAUGAGAGGGAGCUCACCUGAAACCUUGGUGAGAGGUGCAGGCAGCUCGGAGCUGGAGCAACCAGGAGAGACCAGCAUGUUUGACACCAAUGAGCUAGAAGUGACCCUUGGAAGGGUUGAGAGUUUCAGCCUUUGUGCUUGAUGAAAUGGCAUUGAUGAAAUGGCAUCUCUGCCGGGGCAUGGUCAAAGUCUUUGUUGGUACAGCACAACCAGAAAUUACUUUCUUUUUCACCAAAGUUAAUUAAAGAGUGGUUUUGCACACUGUCAAUAAAUAAGUCAGUUUGAUCAGAUGGACUUAGGCAGUGUGUCAACAGACAGGUCAAGAGACAAAUCAGUGUGCUGCACCAGCAGAUAGCCAGAAAACCCAUUGCUCUGGCAAAAGUUUACAAAGUUGUGGUUUUUUUACUGUGUAAAUUUAUCUUACAACAUAGGUAGAUAUCCAUGUCUUCCCAAUUUGAAGACUGAUGAAGCACUUACCAGUACAGAAAGUUGAGUAUAAUUAAAUAUGCUCGUUAGUAGAUGAUGAAGUAUACAUUUAUACUUCUAGUACAUGUCAUCUUAGAAAGGGUACUAAAAAAAAAAGGCCACUUGAAUUGUUUGGGAGAUAUGGGGACAGUCUCUCUCAUUCUUGGUUGCCAUUCAUGGAUGUUGGGUAGGGCAGGAACAAGAGCGGACGUUGGGAAUCAGCUUCAAAAGUGAGCUUUCUGUGCCCAGCUGGGAGAACAAGCUGGGCAGGUGGGUCCUCUGCGCAGCUCUGGUUGGAUCAAGGGUAUAUGCGAAUAUCUGAGGGCAGAAUUUCACCUGCUGAUUUGUAGGAAUGGGCUGCAGUGACCCUGUUUGCAGUUGUGGAGAGCAGAAGCUGUUCCUGUUAUCGUAGUCCAGGAAGGGGCUCAAAGUGCAGAUCCCAAGGGGGUGUUCAGUGCUGGUGUUAGAGAACAAGUAUUCACCUUUUGAUAAGUUGAAGAUGAAAGUUAAUUAGUAUUAAGGACGUAUGCUUAUUGAUGCUUAUGCUUAUAUUACUAUUAUGUUACUAUUAGUAAAUACUGCAUUUAUUAAGACCUAGGGAACAAAUGACAAAAGCAGAGCUAUACCUGCAUUGUACUUUGGGAGAAUUUAGUCCUGCAAUGAAAAAAGUUGAACUUGUAGGUACAACUCCUUUCAUUUCACGUAAUAAAUACUCUGUUUACAUUAUUUAAAGUGUGAGUAUUUAGUAAAAGUCAGAGCACUGAGAAGUAUCGUUUCCUCAGUGAUCUUCCUGCUGCCCUAUUACAGAUGGUGUAAAAUCAGGUGUGUAAAACAAAAUAAAAAACGCAAGUAGUUGAGCUGACAUGAAAGGUAUUUCAGAUUUAUGUUUUGCAGAUGAUAUUGGUAUGAUUAAUGUAUUUAUUGCUCUUUUUUUUAUUGCUUCUCGCAGAUAAUGUUCAUGAUGCAUGGAAAAUUCUGUGGCUUUAAAAUCUAUGCCAGGUUUACAAAGUCUGUGUAUGUCAACAGAUGUUAAGAAUAUAAACACAACUUUUAUUAUGAAGUCGUGCAAAUGUGUAGACAUGAGCUUGGUUUAUGUAUAUUAUUUUCAGCAUGAGAAUGAAAUGAAACUUCUGUGAAACGAGUUAUUUAGAUUCCUGAAGCUUUCAGGCUGAGAUUAGCUCACUUAAAAGCGAUCAGCAAUGGGCUGCCUUUGUAAGGCUGACAAGCUAAUGACACUUCUGGCUUAUGGAAUUAGUUUGUAACCCAGAACUUGAAAAUGCUGGUGCUAUUUGUUAGUCUGAAGAUACAUUUUCAUGAAAAUGGGCUUUGGAGGUACAGUUCUCUGAAACAAACUGGAAACCAGCCUGGGGUCCCAGCCGGAAGCCCUUUGUUAGUUAUGUUGCUGUGGAUGCCCACCACGCACUGGUCCCAGCAUCCUGGACUGGGCAGUGUUGGUGCUGGGUGGUGGUUGCUGCUCUGUGUUCCCGUUGCCUUUAGUGUGAGACAAGCUUCUGAUGGGUGGAUGUUCUGAAUCUUGUAUGAAGUAUGAAAUACACCAAUGGUGGGAGAAAAAAAUGCAAAUGCAACUCAACUGCUUUGUCUGGAAGAGCUGUGCUGAUCACACCAAUGCAUCCAUCCCUCCUUACCUGCGCCUUGCGGUUGCCACAUGUUAUCACUGCUGUUGAACAGCAGGUAUUUAAAAUCAGAGUGUUUUACUUCCAGAACCCUCGCUUGGGUGUGCUUGCUCAAGAGCCCUGUGGUUGAGUUGCGUUCCCUGGGGAGCAUGUGCUUGGCAGAAACCUCUGACCAUGAGAAAGGUCUCGGAGAGCAGGUGGGCUCGGACCGCUCCACAGCAACUCUCGAGCCCUGCCACGUGUCUUGGUGCUGGUGUGCCUCCAUAAACCUCACAGCCACGUCAGGGACCUUGCAGCUAGCAAGGCUUUUGGGUGACUGUGUAGCAUCAAGAAGGCACACUCUUGUCCGUUCAUGUCUUUGUGCUACUGAAACAAAACGUUUCUCUUCCAGCUGUGGAGCAAGCCCUCUGCUUCCACUCUGCUUAAGCAAAAUUCAGAAUCAGGGUAGAGAGUCAAUUUAUGCCUCCAGACCAUGCCAGUAACUUGUCCCAAUUAUCAUUCUCCAAACUCAGAAAAGAAGCUGCAGAAACACUGGGAUUAUUGCUAGAAGCUGGUCAUAGAGGGAGGGAAGGGUUGCUGAGGACCUGGAUGUCCUGGCCUGUAUCUCAGGAAUUUCCUGGGCUUUUCUCGGCAUUUCAGCUCUCUUGCUUGAAGUCCAGGAAAAGAAAAUCAGACAGAGCAUGUUACGGUAGAUGCCUUUUUUUUCCCCCUCUCAUUGAAAUGUCAGUUAUUUUCCUUUUGCUGUAGGGAGACAUGCUCAGAUUUGCCCCUUUAAAUUGAUCAUCCUUGUUGUAAUAUCACAAUUACACAUCGGAAUGAAUUUGGUGGGAUAUGCACUGAAUACUCUUUAUUUGUUUUGAUGGUGGUACUUGGUGCCAGUCCCUGUAAUGUAAUCUGCGUCGAUACUCCCUUUCUCUACUCCCAGCGCGUUGCUUUGUCUUCUGCGUUGAUCAAAGAUUGGAAAAUUUGUUUUUAUAUACAUAGGCAGUGUAUUUCAUUGCAGCUUUAUGUACUUAAUCUUUUGGCUGUUUGGCUGAAAUACGUCCACGCCUUUUACGUAUUGAAAACAUAAUAUCCUUUAACCUACAAUCUGCAGAGCUAAAAUGAAUUUUAUGUUAAAUAUUUGGUUGUGGACCACAUCUCCAGCUUUUUAUAUGCCACAGUGGUCUUGUGGGUUUUUUUCUUCUCCAUUGUCUGAUAGUGAGGUCAUUUUCAGUCCUCUGAGAAAUUUUAUUCCCAACCAGAUGCGGGCCAUAUAUUAAAAGUAGCACCUGUGGCUAAUAUCACAGCAGCUUACCAUAAAUUUACAUGGUAACUAGGAUUAUAUCUGUCAAGACUGUUAAAAAAUGUCUAGCUUUAAUUUGAUUUCCAGUAUUGAAGGAGCUCUCCAACAUUUUGCUUCAUAACUAUAUUUUAAAAGUUAAAAUCACUCCAUUGUUAAGUUUUAUAGCACUCCCAGUGCCCAUUAAGUUGAUUUGUUAAAUGGGGGUCAGAAUAAAGCAAGUUGGCUACAGGAGGAUCGGAAACCAACCCAUUUGUGACAAAUUUAGUCCUUGCGUGUGAAUCUUCUCAGAGCCUGGGGACUGAUUGGAUUCAGGUGCAGCUUAUGUCAGUUGUGUUUAACCUCAAAGCCUGAGCAACCUCAGCCCCUGACUGUCACUUGUGCUAAUCAAAAGACGAACCUCUCUUCCUUCGUUAGCAGGGGAAUUGCUAUUUUUAAUGUAGUAUCGGUCCACUUGCUCCCUCUGCUAGAGUUUUGCAUUAGAUUGCCUGUCGAAUGAAAAUAGUUUGGUUUUUUUUUUCCAUCCUCCUAGGUAGGUGCUGGUUUUCAUAUAGUCUUUCCUAAACUGCUUCGUUUUCCAUUAUCCUUUGAGUCCUCUCCCAUAUGCUAUGAUUUGUGCACCUGCAAAGUUAUGAAAGUAUUUCUUUUGGUAGUUAUGUUGUUCACCAACUUCCCUGCGUUUAUGAAUACAAUAACCGAUUUGCAAUAAAUCAGAAUUAUUUAUGAGUGGAUUUACAGAGUUGAGAAAAAUCUUUGUAUCUGAAAAUAAUGAAUUUCUGGCCUAUCUGCCUGUUGACAUUUUCCUUUAUUAGAAACUGAUAGUGAAGCUUUCAGGACGGGCAGAGGUUAACCUGCAGGCUGAAAUGGAGCGAAUGAACUGGCUCAAGUGUCUUGGAGUGGAGCACAGUAAAAAUAUAUGAUUCCUGGAUGGUCACACCUUCCUUGAGUGUAUUCUUGUGAUUGACUGAGUAAAUAACACUCUUGCCUCUGAGUCGGUGGGUCGGAGGGUCAAGGUGCAGCUGCGGGACACAGUCCACGUGCCCGCACUGCUGCCUGGCACUGCUGGUGGAAGGCAGGGAGCUCGGGGUCUGGGUGAAAUGAAAGGUGACGUUCUGGGGAGAUGGAUUGUUUGAAAGCUUUACGAGUUUCCUUCCCUCGCUUUGGAGGAGGAGGAGAUGACACUGGUGCCCUGGUCAGUGUGUCCUGUUUCCAAUGAUGCUUCCAGUUACCUGGCAGCCAGCGGCAGGAAAUUGUGCCAAGCUGGGAAGUCCGUAGUGGUGGAAAUAUGUAAUCGGGUUGCGUCUAGGCAGGAAUUAAAUCCUUGGUGCUGGGAGUUCGGAAAUACAGGAUUUAUUUUCUUCUUGUGGCCAGUGUGGCUGGCAGGGUACAAAACCAUAUGUAAAGUCAGCCUGUGCUCCAGAAUAUUUUCAGACCAAUGUUUCGCCCUUGGCAAUGUUUUUCUGUUUUAAAUAGAGCUGCCUUAGUGCAUCAGCAGCCUCAUGUCUUUUAAAGUCCUUCACAAUUUAGCCUUUCCUUAUAUGUCUGGCAACUGUCAUUUUGUCCUUCAGUCCCUUCAUUACGACUUUACUGUUGUUAAUGCAUACGAGAGAUUCGUGCCUGAUAAAAGGCAGGUGAUGAGCAGCAAUUGCUCCUCUUCAUACUGUGGGGUAUCUUCUCUCCUCUUUGGCCAGGGGCUGUGUACAAAUCCCACCACCCUCGAGUCCCAUCUGCUUGUGGCAACUUGCAGUGCCGGUAUCAUCGUGGCAGUACCACCAGUAUUAGGCUGCCAGGUUUGUUUAAAAUGUCACAACAUUAAUCAUAUUUAAAUAAAAUUAAUCAUGUUUAAAUUGAAGACUCAGAGUGGGUGUUUGUCCUUCAUCUCUAGUGCAGGUGAAAUGUGAGAUGUCCCAUCCCAGGUGUCGUAGAAGUUGCAUCACUUUAAUUUUUCUUGUCACUUAACUAUAAUUAGGGAUGCUCAUUUUCUUCGUGAGCUAAGUCAUAUUUCUUCUUAGACUAAAUCAUUAUUAUAUUGUUUAUAAUUACUGGGGACGGUUGCAUUUCUAAUUGCUGACUUUGCCCCACCGAGUAGUCCUGUUGUAUCUCCAUUUAAGCAGGCCACUGCUUAAAUCUGCCCGGCUGACCUUUGGGCUGCUCUCCAGUUGGCUCUAAUACAAAUGCCUUCCUUAAAAGAUGGAUUUAUUAUCACUCAAGUAAAAAUUAUUACAGCGUUUGCCUUGUGCUUGUUGCAUGCAUUGAUCUGAAAGUGCAAAAGAAAUUAUUUGUCAAAAUGCCUUUUGGAUCUCACAAGCUGUCUUGUAGAUUUACAGUAGAAGAAGUGUUUCUCCUUUUUUUCAGCUGUACAAAUUGAUUGUUCACUCUGUUUGAAUUAAACAGAACAAAUGUUAUAUCAGCCACGCGAGCAAGGCUGCCGUACAUUCGUACCGAAUGAGAGCAAAUGUGACCAGGUCAACUUGAUUUUUAGCUACAGUUCGGUCUCUUUCCUUGUGAAACCACCUUUGGAGAAUGAAUGGAAAGUUCAGUGGUUUUGAAUUCAGUUGGACGCCUUCAUUUGGGAAAGUGCAGGUAAGACUGGUGUUGCCUUUCCUGAAAAAGAUGGCUGCUCAGAAGUUUUUUACCUUUUCAAUUAAGGAAACCUGGUGUCAUGCAACUCUUUAUGCAUUAAAAUUUAUUUUUAUGGGGGUGCUGGAAAGAUGUUGAUUAAAAGCAAACAGCACAUCUCCCUGUCUUGGUUGCUUAACAUUUUGCAUCCCCUUGCUUUUUGAAUAACGCCCGACUACGUUUUCAAACCAUUAAUUGCCUUUUACGCUAGCAGCUCUCACUUUCUCGUACUCCCAUGGAGGAGACACAGGCUUUGGGCUAUUAUCCUCUGCAACUGUAAUUGAAAAUGGACUCCGGCUGGCAGAAUAAACUAAAAUAAAACUCCAACGCCCCUAUUUAAAAAUUAACCAUUACUCACCAAAAGCACAUCAAACCCACUUAGCGGACAUCCGUUAAUCCCGCGGUGAGCCGUUUCAGGCUUUAAUGCACACUGUUUUACACGUUAAGGGUUUUGAAGUCGCGGGCCAGCGCUGACCUUUCGCAUCUGCUCCUCUCGCAGUAGGAAUCUCCGCUCGCCGCUCCCCGUCAGGGCGGAUUAACGUGACGAAGUGCAGCGCUUCUGCUGGCUGCAAUUUUGGGUUUUGAUCAGAAUUAUUUCUUUCACAAACAAUCACGUUUGGCUAAAAUGUUACAUCUGCUCUGAAAAGCCACUGGCAGGGCCGCAGUUUAUCGGGGUGAGGCGAGUGUAAUUUUUUUCAUUCCUCUUUUAUAAAGCUGCAAACCUGCUUCACGUCGUUUUUUUGGGAAAGAGCUUCUCUUCUUCCUCUUCCCCUUGCCCUUUUCUUCCUUUAAUUUUGUUGGGCUGAGAUGAAAAGUUGCUCUGGACAAACACAAAGCUGGCUGUGAUGUCUUGGAGGGGUUUGGUGGGGGAAUGCGCUGAUAAGUGGGGAGCCCUGUGCUGAGUCAGCACUGCACCAUUGGGUUUAUUUUGUGCUAAGGGUGCUUUGUAGGAAAACAUUUCCUACAAUCAGAGGGGAAAGUCCUGAUUUCAUGAUCUAGUGUGAUUUUCCUCAGGCUGUGAUGAGAAUAACAGUAGGCAGUUAAAUAUAUGUCUGUGUAUGACCAGGGUGUCCCUGGUUGGGAGAAUCUUUAUUCCGUGAUACAACGGGCAGGUGCUUGUAGCAAUCAAAAAUACUGUUGGCUGUACAAGCCCAGGACAUUGAGUUUAUGCAUUCAUCUUGUAAUGCCCAAUCUCGUAAAGAACCAAAGGGUUUCCCUCUAUGGUGUGCUUGUAUAAAUUUCUAAAAGAAAUUUGACCUUCACUGGAGGACUCAGAAUUAGUAUUUGCCUCCCCUUGUGAGCCCACCUCUCUGUUCCCAGGGGUACCGGUGUACAGACGGUGUGGGCUGCCCAGGGGAACCCUUGUGUCUUAGUAAAAAAACAACCAACAAGAAAAACAUAGAACCUCUCAAAAUAUUGUACAUCGUAUGUACUCUGCCACUUCCAGGCAUGCGCUUGGAGCAUGCGGAGGGGUCUGAAGACACUUGAAAAUGCUAAGUAUAGGUUGUUCAUCUGAAUUAUUGGCAGUUCAGUGGGCCUGGUUUUUAAUAAUGCAACUUAACGUGGCUGCCUUUGUCCUUUUCUUCAUGACCUGCUCCAGCCAUUCUUCCACCUACCAGAGACAGGGAUGAAGCAGGGUCUAGGUGACCUACAGAUCACAUAGGGAACAGUGGGCAUGGCAAACCAGGCAAGGUAACCAACUGCUCUGAGGUUGAAGGAUGCCCUGAAGAGAAACAUGUUGUCUGGGAAGAUGCUUGCUCUCUCCUGCUCUUUCUUCAAAUGAGCUGUCAUUUCUAGACUUGAAAUGUCUGUCUUCAAAAUAGUAUUUGAAUUUUAUAGUGCAAUAUAAAUGAAAAGCCUGCCAUUGCUGGCCCAGGUAAGUCUCCUGCUGAGUUUGCUGUCCCAAUGUAUCACCUACAUUCUUCUACUAUAAGAGAUGUCCAAACAUGAAGGCCCAUUCUGACAACAGAGCAGGAUGCUUUCAGCCGCUCAGUUGAGUGAAAUGAUUCCCUGACUGGAUCCACAGUAAAUGUUCCUCAGUUUGCUUUAUUUCAUGGCAUUAGGUCUUUUUAGAUUCUGGCUUGGCCAAGAGGGUGAUCGGAAGACCUCUUCAAAUUCCUCACACCUCCAUCGUGAUUUCUCUGUCGCAUGUUUGAAUUUUUGACCUUGUCUUUAAAAACAAACAAACCAAAACAAAAAAACCUGACAGUAUAGUGAGUAGGAGGAUGGUGGAAGAUGAAAUGGCCAUGAGACCAGCCACUUCUUCUCUUAAUCUACCAUAAAGCAGUACCUUUCUUAUCACUCUUUGAUGUUUUCUUAGAAUCAUAAAUUGCAGAGAUUUAGAGGAUUAUCAGAGCAGGAUACGAUUGCCCUUGGAUACUCAGCAGAGAAGAUUUUGGAUAUUAAACUGGUAGUAUGUGUAAUCUUGGCCAAAAGACCAAGGAAAAUUCCAUCUGAGCGCUCUCUAUGUUAUCAACAGCGUGUAUGGCAUGUGAACUUCAUUUUCAUGUCUGCAGAAUGAAAUCAUUCCUUCGCAUACAAGUAAGAAGAAACAUGGGGGGAAACCAGUAGUAUUUUGUUCUGCUGUAGCCAGGUCUGUUCCACUGAAAAUGUGGUGCAACGGGAUAACAAACUUCUCUAGUUCUACGCUGAGGCCAAGCUCUAUAAAAGUCAGAGGAUUUGAGCACCUUUUUGAAGGAGCAUUCACAUAAAUUAAUUCUUAUUUGGUCUGUUUUACAGCGCCUUCAUGUCAUGGGCUGGCACCGUUUAUUGCCCAAGCGGCAGCAUCUUUGUUCAGCAUGAAGGUCACCGGGGAGCAGAGUGCCUUAGUGGAGGGUUCAGGUGCCUGAAUUUAAAGGGUUGGAACUGGGGACUAACUGCACCUUGUUACUAGUUUAUUUUUAUAGUGGUUUGUGUGAUGGCUUUAUUACAGUACAGCCAGGAGCUUAAUUUGCUGGGCCAAACAUUUGCUUUAACAAGUAAAAUUAUCAUUGUCCUUUCAGUUAUGCGGCCAAGAGUGUUUGUUAUUUUAAGUGACUGAUUGCUUUAGCAGGUGCUCGGUUAAUGGAGGUUUCGCUGUGUUAUUUAAUGUUUUUAGGUAGGGUGCAAAAAGUUCAUUUUAAAAAGUCAUGUUUCUUGGAAUAGCCAUUUUAUUUGGUGUAAACCUCCUAAGUGCAACCUUUAUAUUCCAUUUUUUGAGCACAAAGCACACAAAAAUAGUUUGGGAGGUGGAGAGUCACAUUUAGCUGACUACGUGGCUGGAGGAUUUCUUCCAUGUUCUGGUUCAGUCCUGAAACCUGGGAUCAUUUUCCUUUUUUUUUUUCCUCUAAAAUCUAAUAUAGAGAUCUAAAUUUUUUAAUAAAUAAUAUUUAUGAGGCUACAUUUACCUAGAGUGCUAAGGAACUGGCACUGGGGUGGGGGGACCAUUUAUUUAGAGUAUUUCUAUAUGAAGUGAUGUAUCGCAAAUAUCAUGGGACCUUCUUGAUGGUUUGGUUGGGAUUUAGGAUGUCUGCUUAUUUAUGGGCAACUAUAAUUAUUGUUAUCUACCUAUAAGCAAAUGAAUGUAUUUUGUAAUAAGGUUAUAUUGACCCAGUGGCGUCUAGGCUUGAAAUUUUAUCACUCAAAAAGAAGUUUUUAUGCUGCUUUAAGGCAUCUCUAUGUUCUCUCACUUCCACUCCAUCAAGUUUAUAUAUCUUUUUGGUGGAAUAGGUGAUCAAUUUUGGCGUGAAGUCUGUUCAUUGAAUCACCGAGCAUAUUAUCUGCUUUCUGUUCAUGAAAUCCAGGUGCAAUCGCUUACAGUAAUAAAAAUGAGAAUAGGAAAAACGAUCUGAGGCUGCUGGAAAAGUCAAGAUGUGCCGGGGAAGAAGAUUGCAUGUGAGGGUAUUUCACACACGUGGCGAGUGCGAGGGAAGAGGAAAGCAAAGCAAAACCAAGACUGUAAGAGCAGGUCAGUGCUCUCUACCUUCCUCUUAGUCCCUCUUCUUGCAUUGAUCCUCGGAUCCCUUGGCCUUAGCAGAAAUAUUUGUAUUUGGGUUUUGGACUAGUUGAAUUUCAAGUGAGGCAAAUUACGCUUGCACCUGCUUUAUGACAAAGCGAUGUCAUAGCUUAGGUCACUGCUGAGCUUGCGAGACGAAGCCUUUGACUCAAACCUCUUCUGGAGAGCUGCAUCUCAAGCAUCACCAGGUCCAUGUCACGUCGAGUGCUGCACCUGGUCUCGAUUGUGCCGAGCGAGUGUAAACUUCCGAGCGGCUUGGGCUUUUCCUGGGACAGCAUUCCUGAAAUUGCCUUCUGUCAUCUCUGCAGCUCUUGACAUUGUACCGGUACCUGUGUGAGAAAUGUCCCCAUUGAGGAAAGGCCAUGCCUCCGAGCUCCGCUUCUCUUUGCCUCCAUUUAUUCUUCAUGUUCUUCAAAUUGGUAAAUCAUAUGACAAUAAACAGAAAUACCCUCAAUGAAGAGAGAAGGGGAAACUGUUGUUUAUCUGGUCAGGUGGUUUAGAUUAGCGGUGAUGCUGGUCUGUAUUAUGUUACUUUAAAUCAUAGUGUCCCAACAGGACAUAAAUUAUGAAGAUUGUUACAGUAUGUUUCAUCCAAUGUAAGAUCAACAAAUUGGAAUAAUUUUUUUUAUAGGAAAAUCAGUGCUUUGGCAAGGUUAUUGUUGAAGAAUUUAAUUUAACUUGAGCUUUGCUUGCAUUAUUUCUUAAUAUAUAAAAACUAUUUGCAUAAUGUAUGAAGUAUAAACAUUUUUAGAAUCAAAGGCAAGAAUGCCUUUUCCAAGAUUACACAGAGUGGCAAACUACUUAGAAUAGAUCAGUGUUUGUGCUUUUGCUGUCAAAAAUGUUUGAUAUAGAGCUGGCGAGCUAGUUUCUUCACCGACAUAAUUGUAAACAAGUGUUGGGAGACAGAAACAGCGUUCUUUGUAGAACAUGGUGUAAAGGUUUUCACGUACCCUGCUGCAGAUCUAACAUGGAGAGCAGUGUUUACAGCUAUAAUAGGAAUAUAAAUAGGUAACUUUUUUUAGAGAGCAAAGCAGCAUUUCACUUUCGGACAAAUGAUGUGUGCAGAUAAGUAUGGGGGAUGCGAGCAGUCUGCUCUGGAUUUUAAAAGGAUAUGGUAAACGCAGAAAAGUGUAGACAAUUAAGUUGGAAAUUGUGGGGUGUUUUUUUUUUAGUUUCACAUUUCGUUAUGAAGACAGAAAUGGCGUCUCAGUACAUGCCAGUAUGUCUGUAGUAUCCCUCUUCCAUCCUUUCUCUUUACUGGUGUCUUUCAGAGUUAGGAGGACUGCUUUCCCCAAUCCUGAGCGGUGCUUGGGGAAUGGGAAGGUUGGCUGCACUCAUGAUGUUCUCUUGCUCAAGCUGUUAAAGAGGAGUAAAAAAAAAAAGUCUCUACCUAUGAUUUGUAGGUGUUGUUCACCUUCAGGAUGGCAGAGUGCUGUCUUGAGGUGGGAUGGAGGGAGUAGGGAAAUGCGGGCACAACGCCUGAGCCAGCUUGUCCAUUGCUUGCACUCACUGGAGAGAUGGGGACAUGAGUAAUUGGAGUUCAGCUCUAUUUUGGGCCUUGGUUUAGUUGUGCUCUGAAGGACUGUCCCACUGUUUCUGGAAUGGUAUUAAAAAGGGGAAGAGCAAUGGGAAGGUGUUCCCCUGGUUUAUGUCCUGGAUGAAUCCAGACAGGGCCAAAAAGAAGAAGAAAAGAGGAAAAAAUCUAAUGUCACAUGGAUCCAGUGUCCCUGGGGUGGUUCAGGCAGGAUGAUGAUGCCCACAGGAAAGAAGCCCAAAAUGAGCACGUGGUUUUGAGAACGAACACCUGUCCUCCUGUGCUGCCAUCACCUUCCUAAAUACCAGUUGGAUUCCUCUUUUUUUGUGUUUUAACCAUGUUGUCACUUUCAGAUGAAGAGCAUGGCCUUGUGAGAUGACUUUUGUGUAUUUGUAAGGUUAAAGUAUUUCUUAAUGGAGUAAAUAGAAUUAAAAUAAAACAAACCCUGGAUUUUUCUUGACAGAACAACAGAAAAUGUCAUGAGAUUAGGUCAAACCCUCAUGACUAGCUAAACAUAACUUAAAAUAGCUCGAUAUUAAAGAGCUUUUUCCUUUAAUCUGCUGGCUCACUGUUAGGUAGUAACGUCAGCUGGAUGCAUGAAAGCUUCUGCAGUUUGGAAGUGAACCUGAAUGGUUCGAGUUUAUUGUUACAAGUGUCAAACUGCUGAGGGGAACACGUGCUAUACACUGUGCACAAGGGUAUUUUUCACUUGGGUGAAUGGAAAGCAAAUGUGUGAAAGCAUAUCUCUUGCCUUGUAUGACAGUGUCGCUAUAACUUGUUUUAUUUAUUCACUUCCCAUUGAUAAAUUAUACAGAUGCAUCCCAGGUGGGUGGGGAAGGGAAGACAGGUAGCCCUUGCACUGCAGAAGGUCAAGGUUAAUGCUACCUCCAAUGCUAUAAUGACAGAUGGGAGGCAGAAACCUUAAUGUACUUGUGAUUAGCAUAUGGUUUCCUUGGCUGAGUGUCCGAAGGAUUUAAGCAGCCCGGGUACGCUCUUCAUAGCGUACGCAUUUUAAAACAAACAAAUAAAAAGUGUGUAUGGUUGUAUUGUUGAGCCUUUCAGCUGUUUUUCUUGAAUAACUCCACUUCUGAGUCAAGUACCGUCAGCUGCUUUGUUCUGGAGAUGCACUGGGGUAAUCCAUCACUGGGGACUCGCGGGUGGGUGAUGUAUUAGCAUGACAUAUCGACCUGUGUUGCUUUGAUGUAUAACUCAUCAAGAUAAUGUUGGCAAGCAUUGUACAAAAGCAGCAUGUUUAAAAAGUAUUAAGAUGAAUUGAUUCCUUGCUUAAGAAGUGCGAAAGGAAGAAUAAUAGCAGAUUAGCUCCAGGAUGCCGUGGUUCUCCUGGAGCCAUGCAGCGUUGUGUGGUGCAGAGGGGCGGAUGGAAUUUCAUCUUUCCUCCCACUUCUGACAGCAAAGUGUCUGGCCCUGGUUUUCCCAUUCUCAGGCAACAAAAGUCACAUUAAAUCUUAUUUUGUGAUUGCUUAUUUUGUCACUUUUGAAAGCGGUUUGGCCAGUCCCAAAACAUUAUACAAUAGCUGAAUUUUUUAAAGAUUUUUUUUGUUUGUUUUGGUUUUGGUUUUUUUUUCUUUGUUAGGUUAACUUGUUCUUCUAAGAGCAGCCCUGAUUUUUAUCUCAUGGAGAUGUACUGUGGCUGGUAGUAUUUAAAAACCAUUUUAGAAGAGAUGUUACAACUGAAAAACCAUUAGUUGUUAACACCUUCUUUCACGAUAUUAAAAGACACGAAGGGAAAAGACGUACAGGUGCACCCAAGGCAUCUCCUUGUCUGUGCAGAAUUGCUUCGCUCCUUCCUUGUCCUGGUGCUGUUUGUGGUUCAUCACAGGGAUUUGGCAGUCUGCCGUGACUUGGGUGAUGUGAUGCAUCUAUUUAGAAUAACCUGUAUGCCGGGAUGUUAUUUUAGCCCAAAUGUCCUAAAAAGAUUAGGUUGAAAAUGUCUGCCUAAUAUGCCUGUUACUGAAAUAUCAGAAUACUUUACACUUAUUUAGUACAUCAAAGUGUCUUUUCAUACUUUGUAAUGGCUUCUAGAAAAUGCUCAAGUCCUGUCUUUCUCCUCUCUUUAUUUUUCAAGGAAAAACCUGAAAAAGUUCCCAUUAGGGGCCAGGGGGCUGCAGAACUCUGUUAUUAAUAUAGCGAAAGUCAAGACUGUGUUGGAUCUUACUGUCAUGAGUAAAGUACUUGCCCCACUUUCAUCAAGAAAUGUGUGAUGGUCUGAUAAACUCUGCCUACCAGUGCAGUCUUGACAAUGAUCUUGCACUGCAGACUGCUUAAUAAUUUUCAUUAUUUUUAAUUAAAGUUGAAGAAAUGCAGACUCCUGGUCAAAUUAAGGUUGGUUGUGUUGCCGGAAUGUGGUAAUUACUUUAAUUGAUCACAAGAUAGUUUCCUUGAUCACCAAUUAGACCAAAUUACCGAUCAAGUUUCAAGACGUGAAGAAAUGUCCAAACUGAUUUUAUGUAAUAGUGUUUUCAUAUCUAAUCAAACCUAAAUAUCUUUUCCUUCCAGAGCCAAUUGUAUUUUCCCAAAGAAAGGUUACGGCUCUACAAAUAUAAAGGUGAUUCAUAAACAAUAGCGUUCUAAUUCACUUAAUUAGCAGAGGAAGUAUUUAGGACCUUAAUGGAGAUUGCGCUGUUGAAAUUGCUCAGUAGAACUGUAGCUCAUUUUCUUAGUGGGAGAUACUUUUUUGCGUAUAAUUAAAAUAAACUAAAAUGCAAGAAGUUGCUUUGAGUAAUGUGCAAUGAGGGAGAACGUCUCUGAGCGGAGCGGGGCAUGGAGGAAGGCGGGCAUGUCUGGUAGGUGUGCAUGCUUCGUCCUUCGCUGUUACACCGCACUGUAAUCACCCCGGCUGGGACAGCCGUGGUCAGCUGGAGCAACGAGCAGCAGGACCUGUCCUGGGGAGGGUCCUCUGCGCCAGAAUGAGUUCUUUUUCGUGACUUGGACAGCCCCAGGUUGAGCACUCUUCGGGAAGAUGAACAGUGUUAAGACCAAGGACUGUUCUGUCCAGCUGGAGACUUUGUACCGUCGGUGGGGGAAGAGGCAGUGGGUUGGCGUGGUGGUACUGACUGGGGGGAUUUGUCGUCUCAAAGCCUGGAGGAAGGUCUGCAGAGCAGAUUAAUUUAGUAGAUGCAUUUGCUUGCAGAGUUCGCUCUGUCUGCCUUCCAUCAGAGCGAUGAUUAUUGUCAUACUAUCAAUGACUUGGGCCUGUGUAGUGUCACCUGUGUAUAUACGUAGGUGGGUGAGUUCCUGGGAUGGACAGACAGACACUGGUAGAGCAUACACGAACCUGGUAGGGUUUUCAUAAAUUUAAUGUAUUUUUCCCUUGCUGCUCAUUUGCACAAAGGCAAUCCAGUUACAGAUGCAAUUGCUGUUUUAAGCUUGUGGGGACAUUUCUGUGUGUAGGUUGGUGUGUUGGAAAUAACAUUCCUAUUAAGCCCAUGGACACUCUAAAACAUAUAAAUCAAAUAUCUUUCAGAACUCUCAAUGCAGAAGAGUUCCAAAUCAUUGCUAACAUCUAAUGCACAACUUGCAGCUUUCCGCUUCAAAGAGUGUGGCUGAAACAUUUGCAAAUUUUUAGAAGUAAUUGCUCACUGGAAGUAAAACUAAACCAAGCAAGAGCUUCAAGGGAAGUUAGAUUUUCCCAAAUUUGGGAAUGCUCUUGGGUCAAAGAAAAAAGCUUUUUAAUUGCUGACAGUUUGGUGAUUUCCAAAUGACAAACCUCAUUGGAAUGAUUUUCUCUGAUUAUAACGUUUGCAUUCAUUUGACUGGCAAAGCGACUAACAAAGUCAUACUUCAUCCAGGCACCGAUCCUUUUUUUACUUAAAGGCUUUUGUAAUUUGUGAGAGGAAAAAAGACUGAAACUAUUAUCAACCAUUAUAUGUUAUUCAUUGACCACAUGUUUGUUUGAAAUGGCCAUCGCUUGGUGGAAUGCGGGCCAUGUACAUUCUCUUCCAUAAAUUAGCACUAAAAAACUACCUAAGUCAGGUAGGGUUUUGUUGAGCUUGUUGUACUAUAAUAUGAACCAGGCUAUAACGUGGAUGUUACUUUUGCUUUGCAUGUUAAUUCAGGUCCUGAACGCCGAUGGAUGGAGCUCGGUAUGAACAAAGCCUCCUGACUUAGAGGCGUUCUGCUCACGCACUGAGGCCCUUCGGGCCCCGCUGUGUAAUUGCGUUCUUGAUUUACAUGGACAUUCUAAUUUUCUUUAUAACGUAGUGAUUUGCUCCUAAGUAUUUUGGCAAGGGCCUGCUAUUAUUUUCUUCUUGAGCCUGUGAUAAAACCUGCGUCCCAGGGGGACGUGCUGGGGAGAAUAGAGAGGCAGAGGAUUGGGAAACCUAUUUUAACUCAUUUUAAGGGAAAAUAUUUUCUCAUAAAGCAAGGGGCAAACCCACCUGUCGCCUCUCUCCCCCCGGUAAAAUAAAUAACAAAAUUGUUAUGUGAAAGGAUGUGUUUCUGGAAUUGGUAUCUGUCUAGUACAGGAAUACUGGGCCAUGAUGCUUCAUUAGAAACGGCAGGUUUCUAAGAUGCAGUAAGGGAUGAGGGGUUUGGAAAGGAUGUUUUAAAUUGCUGUUGGAUGCCAAAGGUAAAAUCAUUGCUCUCUUGCAAUGGCUUUGAAUCCUGCAGUAAGUAACACUGAGGAGAGUGAUUUACUGGGGUCUGAAGGGGAUGAUUUCAGCAGUGUCCGGAAAUGCAUCGGCAGCAUGAGAAGGUGAAAGGCUCCUCGAACACACACAAGCCCGAGGUGCAGAGAUCUGCAGCAUCUCUACAAGUUUUUAAGAUUUUGGAGUGAGUCUUGCAGAUCCCCUGCCAGUCCUGGCAGGUGGAGGAGUAUUUUCUUCUUUGCUCUUUCUCU